rnacentral:rRNA from 1 species
ACAGUCACACAUUAGAUACCCGUGUAGUCCUGGCCGUAAACGAUGUGGACUUGGUGUUGGAAUGGCUCCGAGCUGCUCCAGUGCCGAAGGGAAGCUGUUAAGUCCACCGCCUGGGAAGUACGGUCGCAAGACUGAAACUUAAAGGAAUUGGCGGGGAGCACCACAACGGGUGGAGCCUGCGGUUUAAUUGGACUCAACGCCGGAAAUCUCACCGGAUAGGACAGACAUAUGAUAGUCGGGCUGAAGACUCUACUUGAUGAUCUG